rnacentral:rRNA from 1 species
AUUGAACGCUGGCGGCAGGCCUAACACAUGCAAGUCGAACGAGUGGCGGACGGGUGAGUAAUGUCUGGGAAACUGCCUGAUGGAGGGGGAUAACUACUGGAAAAGGUAGCUAAUACCGCAUAACAUAGGAUGUGCCCAGAUGGGAUUAGCUUGUAGGUGAGGUAACGGCUAACCUAGGCGACGCUCCCUAGCUGGUCUGAGAGGAUGACCAUCCACACUGGAACUGAGACACGGUCCAGACUCCUACGGGAGGCAGCAGUGGGGAAUAUUGCACAAGGGGAGCAAGCUGGAGGCAGCCAUGCCGCGUGUAUGAAGAAGGCUUUCGGGUUGGAAAGUACUUUCAGCGGGGAGGCGUUACCCGCAGAAGAAGCACCGGCUAACUCCGUGCCAGCAGCCGCGGUAAUUC